CGGACGGGUGAGUAACACGUGAGAAUCUACCCUUAGGAGGGGGAUAACAGUUGGAAACGACUGCUAAUACCCCAUAUGCCGCAAGGUGAAAUCUUUUUUGGCCUGAGGAUGAGCUCGCGGUGGAUUAGCUAGUUGGUGGGGUAAUGGCCUACCAAGGCAACGAUCCAUAGCUGGUCUGAGAGGAUGAUCAGCCACACUGGGACUGAGACACGGCCCAGACUCCUACGGGAGGCAGCAGUGGGGAAUUUUCCGCAAUGGGCGAAAGCCUGACGGAGCAAGACCGCGUGAGGGAUGAAGGCCUUUGGGUUGUAAACCUCUUUUCUCAGGGAAGAACACAAUGACGGUACCUGAGGAAUAAGCCUCGGCUAACUCCGUGCCAGCCGCCGCCGUAAAACUCCGUAGAC
rnacentral:rRNA from 1 species